UCCACGCCGUAAACUAUGGAUGCUAGCUGUUAGAAGUAUCGACCCUUCUAGUAGCGAAGCUAACGCGUUAAGCAUCCCGCCUGUGGAGUACGGUCGCAAGACUAAAACAUAAAGGAAUUGACGGGGACCCGCACAAGCGGUGGAGCGUGUUGUUUAAUUCGAUGGUAAGCGAAGAACCUUACCCAGGCUUGACAUCCUUGGAAUUUUGUCGAAAGACGAGAGUGCCUUUUGGAACCAAGUGACAGGUGAUGCAUGGCCGUCGUCAGCUCGUGUCGUGAGAUGUUUGGUUAAGUCCAUCAACGAGCGCAACCCUUUAAGUUAG
rnacentral:rRNA from 1 species